GGUGCUAUAGUGUAGUGGUUAUCACUCGGGAUUUUGACCGACUGCGUCUAUGCCGUUGCCGGACACGUUCCCGAAACCCAGGUUCGAACCCUGGUAGCACCU